AUUGAACGCUGGCGGCAGGCCUAACACAUGCAAGUCGAGCGGAUGAAGGGAGCUUGCUCCUGGAUUCAGCGGCGGACGGGUGAGUAAUGCCUAGGAAUCUGCUUGGUAUUGGGGGAUAACGUCCGGAAACGGGCGCUAAUACCGCAUACGUCCUGAGGGAGCAAGUGGGGGAUCUUCGGACCUCACGCUAUCAGAUGAGCCUAGGUCGGUUUAGCUAGUUGGUGGGGUAAAGGCCUACUAAGGCGACGAUCCGUAACUGGUCUGCGAGAAUGGUCAGUCACACUGGAACUGAGACAGGGUCCAGACUCCUACGGGAGGCAGCAGUGGGGAAUAUUGGACAAUGGGCGAAAGCCUGAUCCAGCCAUGCCGCGUGUGUGAAGAAGGUCUUCGGAUUGUAAAGCACUUUAAGUUGGGAGGAAGGGCAGUAAGUUAAUACCUUGCUGUUUUGACGUUACCAACAGAAUAAGCACCGGCUAACUUCGUG
rnacentral:rRNA from 1 species